AAGGUUGCGCCAUGCCCCCCUCGACCGAACCCUAGCCCCCACUCGAACUCCUCCCCUUUCCCUUUGGUCACAACUUGGAGUUCGCCUGAUCUCAUGGUCGCCAUGCCGUCGUCGUAGCCGCGACCACCGUGCGCCUCUUCGCCGGGGGAGACCUCCAGCAGAACCGUCGUCGUCCACUUCUUCAUCUCCACCCACGAGAUCGAGCCCGGAGCCACCGCAUCGACCGGAUGAGGUCUUCUUCAAGCUCUGCCCCGCCGCUCAUCAUCUUCGAUUUCGACCUCAUUGAAGCCUCCCCGAGCCGCUGACUUUCUCUACAGCUGCGAUACGUUGGAGCCCAGAUCCUGAUGCACCUUCGACGAUGACUCCUACUACACUGGAGGUGCCUACUACUACAUGCAGCCCACUGACGACGACCAGGAGUAGUUAGGAGGAUCCCAGGCAGGAGGCAUGCGCCUCUUUCGAUCUGUAUCCCAGUUUGUGCUAGCCUUCUUAAGGCAGACUUGUUUAACUUAUGUCUGUACUCAGAUAUUGUUGCUUCCGCUGACUCGUCUAUGAUCGAGCACUUGUAUUUGAGCCCUCGAGGCCCCUGGCUUGUAUUAUGAUGCUUGUA
rnacentral:rRNA from 1 species